UCCAAGUCAUUCACUUGCUAAAUAUAGAGA
rnacentral:piRNA from 1 species